rnacentral:rRNA from 1 species
UACGUAGGGCGCAAGCGUUGUCCGGAAUUAUUGGGCGUAAAGAGCUCGUAGGCGGUCUGUUACGUCCGCUGUGAAAACCCAGGGCUUAACCCUGGGCUUGCAGUGGAUACGGGUAGACUAGAGGCAGGUAGGGGAGAAUGGAAUUCCCGGUGUAGCGGUGAAAUGCGCAGAUAUCGGGAGGAACGCCGGUGGCGAAGGCGGUUCUCUGGGCCUGACCUGACGCUGAGGAGCGAAAGCGUGGGGAGCGAACAGG